rnacentral:rRNA from 1 species
UACGUAGGGGGCGAGCGUUGUCCGGAUUUACUGGGCGUAAAGGGUGAGUAGGCGGUUAUAUAUGUCAGGUGUAAAAAGCUAUGGCUUAACCAUAGUAAGCACUUGAAACUGUAUGACUUGAGUGCAGGAGAGGUAAGCGGAAUUCCUAGUGUAGCGGUGAAAUGCGUAGAUAUUAGGAGGAACACCGGUGGCGAAGGCGGCUUACUGGACUGUAACUGACGCUGAGUCACGAAAGCGUGGGUAGCAAACAGGAUUAGAUACCCUGGUAGUCCACGCUGUAAACGAUGAGUGCUAGGUGUUGGGUAGCGAUAUUCAGUGCCGGAGUAAACACAAUAAGCACUCCGCCUGGGGAGUACGGUCGCAAGACUGAA